GAGUUUGAUCAUGGCUCAGGACGAACGCUGGCGGCGUGCUUAACACAUGCAAGUCGAACGGUGAAGGAGGAGCUUGCUCCUUUGGAUCAGUGGCGAACGGGUGAGUAACACGUGAGUAACCUGCCCUUGACUCUGGGAUAAGCACUGGAAACGGUGUCUAAUACCGGAUACGACCCUCGGAGGCAUCUCCAGGGGGUGGAAAGAAUUUCGGUCAAGGAUGGACUCGCGGCCUAUCAGCUAGUUGGUGAGGUAACGGCCCACCAAGGCGACGACGGGUAGCCGGCCUGAGAGGGUGACCGGCCACACUGGGACUGAGACACGGCCCAGACUCCUACGGGAGGCAGCAGUGGGGAAUAUUGCACAAUGGGCGCAAGCCUGAUGCAGCAACGCCGCGUGAGGGACGACGGCCUCGGUUGUAA
rnacentral:rRNA from 1 species